rnacentral:tRNA from 2 species
UCUAUCAAAGGAGAAUAGUUACCCCACUGGUCU